UGGGGAAUAUUGCGCAAUGGGCGAAAGCCUGACGCAGCGACGCCGCGUGGAGGAUGAAGGUCCUAGGAUUGUAAACUCCUGUCAGAUGGGAAGAAAAGAUUUAUUUUUAAUAGAGAUAGAUUAUGACGGUACCAUCAGAGGAAGCACCGGCUAACUUCGUGCCAGCAGCCGCGGUAAUACGAAGGGUGCGAGCGUUAUUCGGAAUCACUGGGCGUAAAGAGUGCGUAGACGGUCCAUUAAGUUUGUUGUUAAAGACUCUAGCCUAACUGGAGGGUUGCAAUGAAAACUGGUGAGCUGGAGGGUGAGAGAGAGAAGUGGAAUUCCCGGAGUAGCGGUAAAAUGCGUGGAUCUCGGGAGGAACACCAAUGGCGAAGGCAGCUUCUUGGCUCAUUCCUGACGUUGAGGCACGAAAGCGUGGGGAGCAAACAGG
rnacentral:rRNA from 1 species